UACGUAGGGUGCGAGCGUUGUCCGGAAUUAUUGGGCGUAAAGAGCUUGUAGGCGGUUUGUCGCGUCUGCUGUGAAAAUCCGGGGCUCAACCCGGACUUGCAGUGGGUACGGGCAGACUAGAGUGUGGUAGGGGAGACUGGAAUUCCUGGUGUAGCGGUGAAAUGCGCAGAUAUCAGGAGGAACACCGAUGGCGAAGGCAGGUCUCUGGGCCACUACUGACGCUGAGAAGCGAAAGCAUGGGGAGCGAACAGG
rnacentral:rRNA from 1 species